rnacentral:lncRNA from 1 species
AUGGCAGGAGCCCUUCUAGGGGAAGUCAGCUACCCAGCAGCCAGUAGCCCUCGGCUGUCCACCCUCACUGCCUGGGGUCCCAUGGUGAGAGUGGGCAUCCAGCUUCUGCAGAGGGCCAGGCCGGACGGAGCUGGGGAGGGAGUGGGGCUGGCUCCUGGCUUGCACCGGCCUCGUGGAAUCCAGGCCUCAGACCUGAUCGCUGGCGAAACAGGCUCUAUGCGCCGGAGCCCCUGGUCUUCUGCCUCUCUCCUCCUCCUGGCCAGACUUUGCUCCUGGCUCAGCCACAGGUAUUUGCUAUGGAAAAGCUGCCCCUCCCGCCCCUCGGUGGGCCUGGGUCCACCUCCACCUCCUCUUCAGUUCCGCACCUUCCUCCCCUUUAAAACACCAGCCAGGCGCAGACCGGUUCUGGGCUUUUCCAUGGUGCUCCCGCCAAAGCUUGUGACCGAGUCCUUCCCGCCUAGGGCUGGUGGGCCUACCCUGCUGACAGGUCUCUCUCUGCUUUCUUUACUUAGAACUAACGCUCUCAUUCCCCACCCACAAAGGAAAAACAAAAGGGAAGAAGCCACAGCUGGCCCUGACUUGCUUUGGCACAGGUGUUUUUCCCCGGCCCCGCGUCGGGCACCCUGGUUCCUCUUCUGCCCUUGCCCCACGCGCCCUGGGGCCCCCACCCAGGCUCCCUCAGCCUCCCCUGGGUUGGGGCGGGGGCACCGGCUCCCAGCCCUUGGCCUGGGGUUUGGUGAACGCCUUUCCUGGACCGCGGGCCCACUUGAGGCUCCAGGCAGGGCGGCUGCGCUGGGGGGCCGAGGGCAGGGGUGGGGUCGGGCGUCCACCCUCAGGGUUGCGCCAGGGAGCAGGAAAGCCGACUCCCGAAGUUGGGGGCCUGGGAAAACUUGGGCCCUGGGUUGCCUGAGAAGCGGCGGGGAAAGGAGGCGGGCCAGGAGGAGGGGGCCGCGGACGCCGGCCGGGGGGCGGGACGCGGAGGGCGGUCGGUCCCGCCCGUCAGUCCGCCCCGCCCCGCCCCGCCUGCCGGGGAAGGGCCACGUUGCCCGCCCGGGCCGUCCGGCCCCGGCGCGCCGCAGGAAGGGCUGGCGAGUCGAAAGGCGAGGCGGCCGCGGCAGCGCCUGGGCACCGGGCUCGCUCCCUGCGCCCCCGGGCGGGCCAAGUUCGGGGCCAGGACGUUGGGAGGCCCGAGUACUGCUGGCUGCAUAAUGAAUCACCCCAGAACUUAGUGGCUUACAGCAACAGAAUCAUUUCAUUAACGUCUCAGCUAUGUGGUUCUUGCUUGUGGUCUUUCACACGGUUGCAGUCAGGUAUGGCUGGGGCUGGGAUAAUCUGGAGGGCCGUCUCCUGUGUCUAGCAGUUGAUGCUGGCUGUCAGCUGGGACCUUAGCUGGGGCUGUCAGUUGGAAUACCUAGAGGGGUCCUGUCCGUGUAGCGGGGUCCUGUCCGUGUAGCGGGGUCCUGUCCGUGUAGCAGGGCCCUAGGAUUAAGCAUCUUAAGAGGACCAGGUGGAAACUACUGCCUUUUAUGAGUUAGUCUCCAAGUCACAUAGCAUCUCUUCUUCCCAGAACCAAAGGGAGGGAGCACAGACCCUCCGCUCUGGAGCCAGGACUGUCUUUGUCACUUGUAAGAAGAGCGUAUGGAAUGGGAUAUGUACGGUCAUCUUUGGAAAAUGUAACGCUUCACGCUCUUGCUGCUGCUUUGACCAUCUUUCUCCCUGGUUUCGCUAAUAGUGUGAGCAGUCUUCCAUCUAGCCACUUGAACCUCACGCAUGUGCCAAGCACUGUGACGGGCACAGAAGUCAGAGUCUUCUUUCCUAAGGAGGAAGGUGGGAGUCAGGUGCGUGUGACCACAGAUUCUGUUAUGGUGUGGAGAGAGUGCUAUGGGAGUGUAGCCACAGGGAGGCCUGGCUCUGUCUGCGAUGUUGCAGAAGGAGUCACCUGAAGUGGCCUGAAAGGAUGUGUGGGCGGCUGGCAGGGGGUGCCAUGGGCCAGAUUUCAGGGUGAGGGGCCAGCUGGAGCAAAGACCCAGCAGUGUCCAGGUUUGCUUAUUGGGGAAAAAGCAUCCUGCUGAGGCCAGAGUGCAGGGUCCCUGGGGUGGGUGGUGGGAGGUCAGGUUGAAAAGGGAUGUUUGAGCCAGUCUGUAAGAAGGGCUUUGUAUGUCAUCAUAAUGAGUUUGAGUUUUAUUUGGUGGGCUGUGCAGCCUCUGAUGGCUUUAAGGCAAGUUCAUAUGACCAGACGUGCUUGUCAGGAGGGAUGCACUGUUGCUCUUGGGAGGGUUUGUGAGAGGGAAGCAGGAUGAGUGACAGGUAGACCAGCCAGGAAACUACAUCAAGAGUCCAGACUUAAGGCAGUCCUUCCUAUGAAGGAGUGAGUUCAGGUUAACGGGCUGGAGGGUUUGACAUGGGCUGCUAGCAGUCAGUGAGUAACUUUGUACUUCCAUUCUCACAGUUUUGAAGUUUUUGGGCCUAGACGUAUUUCAGAAUUCAGAAUUUUUGGGGUUUUGAAAAGGUGAUCUGGUGAAUUUACUCUGUAGUGGAAGAUCAGAAGCAGCACAGCAUAAGCCACCAUGUUUAUUUCUGUAGCAAAAUGUAUGAAUAACCACAGCAGGAGAGAUAAAAGACUAUAAAUAGCCCCAUAUUAGAUCAGAUCAGAUUUUAGCAAAUGAGCUUGGAUGAGGCUUUACUGCCAAUUGAGUUUAGAAAACUUCUGUUUUUUAGUGCUUCUUGGAUUUGGCAGUUGCAGUUGAGGAACUGUGGAUGUGUUUAGAUCCCAGGCACGUCUGCUGAAUGUUGAGGGCCCUAGCACAGCGGCUUGGUGGUGCUGGUGGAGCCAAUCCCUGUCUUCAUGUAGCCUGCAGCUGAGGGGACUUGAGAGAAAUCGAGCAGGUGGUUGCGCUCAUUGCUGUUGGUGAAGGGUAGGUGGACCUUAUGUGGUCCCAGGCGUGAAGGAAGGCAUCUUGGCAGAGACACGACAGAGUGUGCCAGGUGAAGAAGAUAGGGAAGAGCAGAGCUGGCUCAAGGGCACAUGCACAGACCCCAAGGGUAGGGGUUGGCCAUUGGGGUGCCCGAUGGGAGUGUGGUAGAGUGGAACAAAGAGAAUGGGGAGAAAGGAGUGAAGUAACUGGCCAGUAUUUACGUGGUCAUGCCGGGCACUGUUCUAAACACCUAACAUGGCUUAUCUCAUCUGAUCUUCACAGCAACCCAGUUUGAGUCUCAGAAAUGUGACAAAACGUAGGGUGACGCCUCUGGGCUGUCUGGCUUGCCUUUGUUACUGCUGCACUCUCCUGAUGGUGGCCUGAGCAGACCUGAGCAGUGCUUCCUGGAGGAGCAGGUCACCGCUGCUGGCCAGGGUCUGGGUUUGACCGUCCUUUUGGGCACAGCCAGCUGUGAGAGAGUGUGUGACUCCUGGUUCAUGUGUGUGCACACAGCACUAACUUCCAGGCAGAGCUGAGGAUCGUAUCCCAGGAAUUACAUGGGUAAACAGUAGGAAAAUAGCACUGGGGCCCAGGAUGAGCCUAUGUGAAGAAGCAGGUGGGCUAGAAAUAGGGGUGUCAUGUACUCUUACAGCAAGAGGAGCAAGUUUGAAGCACAGGGUUGUGGGCUGGAGAACAACGGUCCAAGCACUAAAGUGGAGGCCAGGGCUGGGCUGGGGCAGCUUUUCCUGUGGGCUCUCCAGCCACUGCAGAUGUGUGCAGAUUUGCUAAGUAAAAACCCAGUCAGAAGAUUGCUUUGACCUGCAUGACUUAGAAGGGUGGGGCAGGAGGUCCUAAGUGUCAGGUAGUGGGUGUGGGCCACAAAUUCUAAUGUUUGGAGAAGAGUAAAAAGUCAUCUAAAGGGUGCAGAAGUCGUCUGGAGGGUCCCAUGAGGCUUUGCCAUAAGGGCUUGCAGGUCGUUGAUAAGUCAGGGACGGGCUAUCCCUCUAGCCCCCUUUUUUAUUUCUUUUUCUGGGAUGGAGUCUUGCUCUGUCAUCCAGGCUAAAAGGCAGUGGCGCCAUCUCAGCCCACUGCAACCUCCGCCUCCCAGGUUCAAGGGAUUCUCCUGUCUCAGCCUUCCAAGUAGCUGGGAUUACAGGCGCACACCACCACACCCAGCUAAUUUUUGUAUUUUUAUUUUAGUAGAGAUGGGGUUUUGCCAUGUUGGCCAGGCUCCUGACCUCAGGUGAUCUGCCUGCCUCAGCCUCCCAAAGCUCUGGGAUUACAGGCUUGAGCCACUGAGCCCAGUGUGGCCCCGCCCUUCUAAGCCAUGCAGAGCAGCACUUCGGUGAAUAGAGUUCAGUCCCUCUUCUCCAUCCCCAUCCUGUUAUAUAAAGUCUUUUUCUUGCACAGUCAUUUAGGAGGCGAGAAGUUGGGAGACAGGGAAUCCUGGCCAUCAGAUUGGAGGGAAGUUCCAACAUGGACAACAUCCUGAAGGGAGAGCAAAGAAGAAACUGAAACUCUGCUGGGCACCGUGGCUCACACCUGUAAUCCCCGCACUUUGGGAGGCUGAGGAGGGUGGAUCACUUGAGGUCAGAGUUUGACACCAGCCUGGCCAACAUGGUGAAACCCCGUCUCUCUUAAAAAUACAAAAAGUAGCUGGGCAUGGUGGCAGGCGCCUGUAAUCCCAGCUACUCGGGAGGCUGAGGCAAGAAAGUCACUUGAGCUUGGGAGGCAGAGGUUGCAAUGACCUGAGAUGAUCAUGCCACUGUACUCCAGCCUGGGCAACAGACAGAUCGAGACUCUGUCUCAAAAAAAAAAAAAAAAAAAAAAAAAAAGAGAUAAACUGAAACUCUUCUGUGCAUCACUCUUUUCUUCCACAUAAAGUUUCUUAAAAAUCAAAUAUGGGGAUAUGGCCCACAGCUCUGAGUAGCUUCAUCCAUGUGUGUGGCCCCAGCUGGGCACAGCGGUGAGGCCAACUGAAACAGUGUUUGCCUGAAUUCCUCCGCCACUUGAUGACAUGUGUCUAAUUGAUCUGUAGUGUGUGAGCCCUGACGUAAUAGGAAUUUAAUUGCACAGGUACGUGGAAAUGGACUUGAGGUUUCUGAGAAGAAGACAAGUGGUGGUGAAUGCUGGCAGGGGCUGGGGAAAUCUCCCAGAGGAGACAGAACCAGGUCUUUUAGAUUUCCAGAAAAUCAGCCCUUUAAGCCAGAUUCAAGCUGGAUUUAUGAUUCGUGAGCCCCUGUGAUUAGCU